GGCAAGAUGGCCGAGGUACGUUACUUCCACUCCUUGGGAAUCGCAGUACUAACAUCAAAAUAGUGGUCUAAGGCGCUGCGUUUAGGUCGUUCUAAACAUCCUCCGCAGUCUUCACGGGCGUGGGUUCGAAUCCCACUCUUGUCA